ACCUGGGCGGGCCGCCCGCCCCGGCCCACGGCCGCCGCGGCAGCCCGGUGUGGGCCACCUUCGCAAGCGCUUGUUUGAAAGCUCCUCCUCAGGAAGCGCUUUAAUACAGAAAACUUUCGCUCGAGACCAAAACGCCUUCAGGUCGAUGCAAAGGUGACACCUGAUAAUAACUCUGCAUGCCUUCAUCAGCUGCUGUCAGGCUACACCCAGACAAACCAUCUGCCACCCAGGAAACUACAUACUUGCAGAUUCUGCGGAACCGAAGGAGAUGCCCCCGGCAGACCCCCUGCGUCAGGGUCCGCUUCCCAGCUACAGAUGCUCGAGCGUACGGAGAAGCCGACCGGAGCGUGCGGGAUGUUUCACUCUCAGCGUGCUCCAAGCGAAGUAUUUCAGGAAUCAGGUGAAUAUGUACUUGUGACUUUGCCUUUCUAGAUAACCGCGUACGUGCUACACCCUGGAGAGGUAUGUGCAGGCGGGUGAUGGAAACUUUCCUAUGGUGGCUGACUCGGUCUGAGGUGCUCCCUCCGCUGCCAGCAGCCUGCAGGAGCCCUUCUGUCUCCGGCAGCUACCUGCGCUCGGGAGCCCGUGCCCUUCCCCGCUGCUGCCCCCAGUCACUCGCACGCUCUCUGCCUCGUCAGCCGCGGAGCGGGAGCCUGCCGAGGGGGUCAGCACUCACUUUGGACGCUCGCGUCCGCACCCCCAGCCGGCCAGCCCGAGCCCCGGCGUGGCUCUCCGGGGCGAG